CCUACGGGGGGCAGCAGUGAGGAAUAUUGGUCAAUGGACAAGAGUCUGAACCAGCCAAGUAGCGUGAAGGAUGACUGCCCUAUGGGUUGUAAACUUCUUUUAUAUGGGAAUAAAACGUUCCACGUGUGGGAUUUUGUAUGUACCAUAUGAAUAAGGAUCGGCUAACUCCGUGCCAGCAGCCGCGGUAAUACGGAGGAUCCGAGCGUUAUCCGGAUUUAUUGGGUUUAAAGGGAGCGUAGGUGGAUUGUUAAGUCAGUUGUGAAAGUUUGCGGCUCAACCGUAAAAUUGCAGUUGAAACUGGCAGUCUUGAGUACAGUAGAGGUGGGCGGAAUUCGUGGUGUAGCGGUGAAAUGCUUAGAUAUCACGAAGAACUCCGAUUGCGAAGGCAGUUCACUGGACUGCAACUGACACUGAGGCUCGAAAGUGUGGGUAUCAAACAGGAUUAGAUACCCGAGUAGUC
rnacentral:rRNA from 1 species